UCGAUCCCAGAUCGCUGGGAUCACGCCCUGAGCUGAAGGCAGACGCUUAACCGCUGUGCCACCCAGGCGCCCCUGCCCCGUUCUUUUACCUUCCCUCUUCUUCUGGGACUCCAAUUACAUGUAUGUUAAGCCUUUGGAUAUUGUCCCAUAGAUCACUGAGAUUCUGUUCAUGUAAAAAAUUCUCUUUUUGCUUCAGAUUGGAUCAUUUCUAUUGAUCUGUUUUCAAGAUCACGGUCUCCUUGCUCUCUUGUCUCUCUCUUCUGCUAUAUUGCUUAUUUUUUCCAGAUAUUUUUAGUUCCAGAAUUUCCAUCUGAUGAUGAUUCUUUUUCUUCCUCUUCCCUCUCUUCUCCUCCUUCUUCUCUUUUCCAGUGUAUAGUUCUCUGCUGAGAUUUCCUAUCCUUUCAUGAAUUGGUAAUAUAUUUCCUUUAACCCACAGAGCACAGGUAUAAAAGCUUCAUUGAAAUCACUGUCUGUUGAUUCCAACAUCUGUGCCAUCGUACUAUCAGUUUCUCUUGGUUUUCUUUUCCCUUUGAGAGUAGGUCACAUUUUCCUUGUAUAUUGAAUAAUUUUGGAUUGUGCCCUGGCUAUUGUGAAUGUUAUUUUGUAGAGAUUCUGAGUUCUCUUAUAUUCCUCUGAAAAGGAUUUUUUUUUUAAGUAAGCAGUUAACUUGGUUGAGCUUAAACCGAAAACUUUAAAAGUUCAAAUCUCACUUUAGUUGUUUCAUCCUCAGCUGAGCUUUGCUGUUUGCCCCAUGCAGGCUUGGCUUAGGGGUCAGCCAGAGCUCUAGACAGAGUUUAUCCACAGAAGGGUCUUCCCUCUCCUGUAGCGGCACUGGGUGGUGCUACUGAAUGUCCAGCUCCAGGGGAACUGGUGGGCCAGCUGCAGAGAACAUAAUUAACUGACAGCUCCAGCGGCCACACCUUUGCAUCUGUUGUGACAUUCAUGCCAAGACCAUUUUUGUCAUUCCUGCCUGAUGCAAGAUUUCUGUAAUGGGCCACUUUUGUUUGAGGACUCCACAUUAGCUAUGGGAGGCUUUCUUAGAGGUGCCCCGCAGUCUGGAGUCCAUUCUACCCAGACCUUCCUGCCGCUCUGCUUGCACCCACAGGAUCAGACCUGCAUCAUCAUUCCUGCCUGCUCCCUUCCUUUGCUCACAUGGCCUUGUGGGCCUCUGAAGGUUGGCACAUUGGCCCUCAUGGGACAUGGAGCUGAGUGAGCGCCUUUACCAUAACCACAGGGUUAUGGGGUCUACCACCAAGGUUACUCAUAAGUGUGGGCAGUUCUCAGAGCGAUGGUGGGGAGUCUGGGCCAGUAAGUGUCCAGGCCUCACUCUCUCCAGUACCCAUCCCAAUGUUCAAGUUUCCUCAGAGGGACUUGUGGUUUCAGGAGCACGUGCACACCUUCUACCAUGCUAUAUUGGCCCUAGUGGAAGCCUUUUACCUAGACAUGGAGCUUCUGGCUUAGCACACUGGGUACACCUUCCAGAAAUUCUGGAGACACUGCUGAUCCGAUUCUGAAGCCAGGGGCUGGGGGUAUGGGUUGAGUAAGUGUACAGGAGGACACAACGGAUUACCAUGGCUAAGCUCAGGGCUGGCUCUGCUUCUUGGGUGUGGGGAAAGAAAUGCAUUUUAAAAGUCAUUUUGAAUCCUCUCUUGUUGGAGAAAACAGCCCGCAGCUCCCAGGAUAGUGCCUAGAACCUGUCAGGUGCCUUGCAGGAGGAAAAUGAGGGAGCAGCAGGCUGGUGCCUUGUGCCAGCCCUGGGCACACAAGUAAGAUUUCUUAAACAGUGGUCAUGGAGUCAUGAGAGGAUCGUGGAGGGCUGAGGGCCCAGGGUUUGCAUUUCCCACCCCAGUGACAACAGGUACCAGCUGUGGGACGCUGGACACCUUACUGAGCCUCUCUGAGCUCCGCUUCCACCACCUGCCACACUCUACUUACCUCCUAGAAUGAGGGCACGUGACUAAGAUGGCCCCAAAACGCCGGCAAGGAGCAGAGGAAGACAGGGAGCCAUGGAGGGGAGAACACUUAGGAUGAGAAGGAAUUAUCUAGCAUGGAAGGAGCAGCUUUCCGGCUGGAGGAGCUGCGGGCAGGGGCUGGGCGGUGCCUGAGGCUCUUCGGAGACCAGUAGUGACUGAGCCAGGAGGACAGCUGCCCGGGACUGUGGCAGGGGCCACACCCAGUGGACUCCUUAAGGUCAUGGCCUUUGAAAUCAGUCCAUCCCAGUGUUCCCCACGGGGGAGCCUGUGUCCUUCUGCACCUCCCCAGGCCCACAAGCCCCGGGCCUGUCCUGUCGAUGGUGUGCCGCUUCCUGCCUUCUCCUGACAGAGAUGAGACCAGAUGCUCUCUGCCCGGUGUCUUGCUUUCUGCUCUGUUAGCUCACUGUGGAAGCCCCUCAGGUCCGCUGCGAUACAUCAAGUUCAUUCCUUUUAAAGGUGGCGCAACACUUCACCGUCUGGACAUAAAAGAUUUCAUUCAGUCGGUCCUCUGCUGCCUUCAGAUGGUCUUGAAGUUUGUUUCCCCGCCACGAGCAGUACUUGUGAGGCCCUUCCCGUGAGGGCUUGCCUGUCUACAGUCUCACGGACCGGGCACUAGGGCAAAGCCCACCGGGCCAGGAGGCGCUGCUCCGGGAGACAGGGCCCCACUGCAUGCUCCUUCAGCUGGGACACCCCUGCUCGCACCUGCGCCGUGACACGGGUACUUGAAGGAUGAACAGUCAUGACCCUGAGCCCCUCCUAUCACCCUGGCCACGCCAGCCCCACACUGAGGACCCUCAGCAGCCACUGCAAU